AUCUUUGCGCAGUGGCAGUAUCGUAGCCUAUGAGGUUUAUCCGAGGCGUGAUUAUUGCUAGUUGAAAACUUUACCCAAUACCCCGCCUUGAUGACUUGAAAUAUAGUCGGAAAUGGCAAUUUUUGACAGUCUCUGAGGAGA
rnacentral:snRNA from 1 species